CGCAAUGCUCUUAAUCCUCACAAAUUAAAACAGCAUUACAAAUCAUAUAACAUUAGAAAGAAAAAGAAAAUCAUGGGAAAAAGUCUUGUUUCACCGUUGUUUGUUAGUUUCUUGCUCGUUGCAACGAUUUUGAGCUUUUCCAGUGAAGUGAAUUGCAUUGCCGGACCACUCGAUUGUGUCGGAGGAGGGACGACGAGAGAACUAUAUAUUACUGCCUCUUGCGAAGUGUGUGACCAGCUAUGUGGAAGCAUCCAAGGCGUUGUUUGCGCUGCUGAGUGCAGCGUGACUGGCAACGGGGUACCGUACUGUACCUGUGUUUUUCCUCAAGGUGGAUGAAAACCCUCUACAGGAAGAUCACUUGUUUGCUCUUUGCAAUAUAAUAUACCCAAAUAUGAUGUAUAAAUAAGUUUAUAUUUUAAGUAGUCUCUUCUUUUUUAUCCUAGCCUUUAUAAUAAGGGCCACCCAAAAAGAAUUAGGGACCAACAAUAAAAUAAAAUAAAAUAAAAUAGAAUCACCGAAAUCUAAAUUAGGUUCACCUUUUAUCCUUUUUUUCGUAAUGGAAAAUUGUCCUUCAAUAAUCGGUAGUUAAUUCUAUAAUCGGCAGUUUAACUACAAUCGGUAGUAAAGUGUGUUACUUUAACA